UACGAAGGGGGCGAGCGUUGUUCGGAUUUACUGGGCGUAAAGGGCGCGCAGGCGGCUCAUUUUGUCAGGCGUGAAAGCCCCGGGCUUAACCUGGGAACUGCGUUUGAUACGGAUGGGCUAGAGUUCGGGAGAGGAGAGUGGAAUUCCUGGUGUAGCGGUGGAAUGCGCAGAUAUCAGGAGGAACACCUAUAGCGAAGGCAGCUUGCUGGGACGGUACUGACGCUAAGGCGCGAAAGCGUGGGGAGCGAACAGG
rnacentral:rRNA from 1 species